AGAGUUUGAUCAUGGCUCAGGAUGAACGCUAGCGGCAGGCUUAAUACAUGCAAGUCGUGGGGCAGCAUGACUGUAGCAAUACAGUUGAUGGCGACCGGCAAACGGGUGCGGAACACGUACACAACCUUCCUUUUAGUGGAGAAUAGCCCAGGGAAACUUGGAUUAAUACUCCGUAACAUAUAGAAGUGGCAUCACUUUUAUAUUAUAGCAGCAAUGCGCUAGAAGAUGGGUGUGCGGCUGAUUAGAUAGUUGGCGGGGUAACGGCCCACCAAGUCGACGAUCAGUAACCGGUGUGAGAGCACGACCAGUCACACGGGCACUGAGACACGGGCCCGACUCCUACGGGAGGCAGCAGUAAGGAAUAUUGGUCAAUGGACGCAAGUCUGAACCAGCCAUGCCGCGUGGAGGAUGAAGGUCCUCUGGAUUGUAAACUUCUUUUAUUUGGGAAGAAACCCAUCUUUUCUAAGAUGGUUGACGGUACCAGAUGAAUAAGCACCGGCUAACUCCGUGCCAGCAGCCGCGGUAAUACGGAGGGUGCAAGCGUUAUCCGGAUUCACUGGGUUUAAAGGGUGCGUAGGUGGGCAAGUAAGUCAGUGGUGAAAUCUCCGGGCUUAACCCGGAAACUGCCAUUGAUACUAUUUGUCUUGAAUACUGUGGAGGUCAGCGGAAUAUGUCAUGUAGCGGUGAAAUGCUUAGAUAUGACAUAGAACACCAAUUGCGAAGGCAGCUGGCUACACAAAUAUUGACACUGAGGCACGAAAGCGUGGGGAUCAAACAGGAUUAGAUACCCUAGUAGUCC
rnacentral:rRNA from 1 species